rnacentral:rRNA from 1 species
CACGGGGGGAGCAAGCGUUGUUCGGAAUCACUGGGCGUAAAGGGCGUGUAGGCGGUUUGGUAAGUGGAAUGUGAAAUCCCCCGGCUUACCCGGGGACCUGCAUCCCAUACUGCCAAGCUUGAGUACGGGAGAGGAUGAGGGAAUUCCUGGUGUAGCGGUGAAAUGCGUAGAUAUCAGGAGGAACACCGGUGGCGAAAGCGCUCAUCUGGCCCGAUACUGACGCUGAUGCGCGAAAGCUAGGGGAGCAAACGGG